rnacentral:rRNA from 1 species
CCUACGGGAGGCAGCAGUGGGGAAUCUUGCACAAUGCGCGAAAGCGUGAUGCAGCAACGCCGCGUGCGGGAAGAAGGCCUUAGGGUUGUAAACCGCUUUCAGUUGGGACGAAGCUUCAGUCGUUAAUAGCGGUUUGGAGUGACGGUACCUUCAGAAGAAGCGCCGGCUAACUACGUGCCAGCAGCCGCGGUAAUACGUAGGGCGCGAGCGUUGUCCGGAAUCAUUGGGCGUAAAGCGCGUGUAGGCGGCUGAGUAAGUCUGCUGUGAAAGUCCAGGGCUCAACCCUGGAAUGUCGGCGGAUACUGCUCAGCUGGAGUACGGGAGGGGCGAGUGGAAUUCCUGGUGUAGCGGUGGAAUGCGCAGAUAUCAGGAGGAACACCUAUGGCGAAGGCUGCUCGCUGGAACGUUACUGACGCUGAGACGCGAAAGCGUGGGGAGCAAACAGGAUUAGAUACCCUGGUAGUCCACGCUGUAAACGAUGGAUACUAGGUGUGGGGGGUGUCAACUCCCUCCGUGCCGAAGCUAACGCAUUAAGUAUCCGCCUGGGGAGUACGGCCGCAGGCUAAACGUUAAAUGAAUUGACGG